rnacentral:rRNA from 1 species
UACAGAGGGGGCAAGCGUUAUUCGGAAUUAUUGGGCGUAAAGGGCGCGUAGGCGGCUUGGCAAGUGGAUGGUGAAAUCCCUCGGCUUAACCGAGGAACUGCCGUCCAAACUGCUUAGCUUGAGACCGGGAGAGGUGAGUGGAAUUCCCAGUGUAGCGGUGAAAUGCGUAGAUAUUGGGAGGAACACCAGUGGCGAAGGCGGCUCACUGGACCGGUACUGACGCUGAGACACGAAAGCGUGGGUAGCAAACAGG